rnacentral:tRNA from 1 species
GUUAAGGUAGCUCAGCUGGUUAGAGCAAAGGAUUGACAAUCCUUGUGUCAGUUGUUCGAAUCCACUUUUAAGUGGCU